rnacentral:rRNA from 1 species
CUUGAACGCUGGCGGCAGGCCUAACACAUGCAAGUCGAACGAGUGGCGUACGGGUGAGUAAUGUCUGGGAAACUGCCUGAUGGAUGGGGAUAACUACUGGCAACGGUAGCUAAUACCGCAUACCAUCAGAUGUGCCCAGCUGGGAUUAGCUAGUAUGUGGGUUAACGGCUCACCAAGGCGACGAUCCCUAGCUGGUCUGAGAGGAUGACAAGUCACACUGGAACUGCGAGACGGUCAAGACUUCUACGGGAGGGAUGAGUGGGGAAUAUUGCACAAUGGGCGCAAGCCUGAUGCAGCCAUGCCGCGGGUAUGAAGAAGGCCGGCGGGUUGUAAAGUACUUGCAGCGGGGAGGCGUUACCCGCAGAAUAAGCACCGGCUAACUCCGGGCCAGCAGCCGCGGUAAUAC